rnacentral:rRNA from 1 species
AGAGUUUGAUCAUGGCUCAGAAUCAACGCUGGCGGCGUGCCUAACACAUGCAAGUCGAACGAGAGAGUGGAGCAAUCCAUGAGUAAAGUGGCGACCGGGUGAGUAACACGUGACUAACCUACCUUCGAGUGGGGGAUAACCUAGGGAAACCUGGCCUAAUACCGCAUAAUGCCUUCGGGUUAAAGGAGCAAUUCGCUUGAAGAGGGGGUCGCGGCCGAUUAGGUAGUUGGCGGGGUAACGGCCCACCAAGCCCGUGAUCGGUAGCCGGCCUGAGAGGGCGCACGGCCACACUGGAACUGAAACACGGUCCAGACUCCUACGGGAGGCAGCAGUGGGGAAUUUUGCGCAAUGGAGGAAACCCUGACGCAGCAACGCCGCGUGGAGGAUGAAGUCCUUUGGGACGUAAACUCCUUUCGACCGGGACGAUUAUGACGGUACCGGUGGAAGAAGCCCCGGCUAACUUCGUGCCAGCAGCCGCGGUAAUACGAGGGGGGCAAGCGUUGUUCGGAAUUAUUGGGCGUAAAGGGCGCGUAGGCGGUGCGGUAAGUCACCUGUGAAACCUCCGGGCUUAACUCGGAGCCUGCAGGCGAAACUACCGUGCUUGAGUGUGGGAGAGGUGCGUGGAAUUCCCGGUGUAGCGGUGAAAUGCGUAGAUAUCGGG